rnacentral:rRNA from 1 species
CUACGAAGGGGGCUAGCGUUGUUCGGAAUUACUGGGCGUAAAGCGCGCGUAGGCGGACUGAUCAGUUGGGGGUGAAAUCCCAGGGCUUAACCCUGGAACUGCCUCCAAUACUGUCAGUCUUGAGUUCGGGAGAGGUGAGUGGAAUUCCUAGUGUAGAGGUGAAAUUCGUAGAUAUUAGGAAGAACACCAGUGGCGAAGGCGGCUCACUGGCCCGAUUCUGACGCUGAGGCGCGAAAGCGUGGGGAGCAAAUAGGAUUAGAAACCCUUGUAGUCC